rnacentral:rRNA from 1 species
AUUGGACGCUGGCGGCAUGCCUUACACAUGCAAGUCGAACGGCAGCAUGGAAGAGCUUGCUCUUCUGAUGGCGAGUGGCGAACGGGUGAGUAAAGCAUCGGAACGUACCGUGUAAUGGGGGAUAACGUAGCGAAAGUUACGCUAAUACCGCAUACGACCUGAGGGUGAAAGCAGGGGAUCGCAAGACCUUGCGUUAUACGAGCGGCCGGUGUCAGAUUAGCUAGUUGGUAGGGUAAAGGCCUACCAAGGCGACGAUCUGUAGCGGGUCUGAGAGGAUGAUCCGCCACACUGGGACUGAGACACGGCCCAGACUCCUCCGGGAGGCAGCAGUGGGGAAUUUUGGACAAUGGGGGAAACCCUGAUCCAGCCAUGCCGCGUGAGUGAAGAAGGCCUUCGGAGUGUAAAGCUCUUUCGGCCGGGAGGAAAUCGCACAGGCUAAUACUCUGUGUGGAUGACGGUACCGGCAUAAGAAGCACCGGCUAACUACGUGCCAGCAGCCGCCGUAA